rnacentral:lncRNA from 1 species
CAGUAAAACUUUGUGAACAAAUGCUGAUAAGAGGCUCAUCUGAACAAAGCCUCAUAUGAAGCUCGAAUGCUCUGCCUCAGACCCCUGACUAACAGGGACCUUGACUACCUGCCUCACCCUGCAAGGUGCCAUCACCAAGUAGGAAUUUGAUAAAUGUUCUUUGAUGAUAAAAGUGAUGAGGACAGAAUGGAUUUAUAAUAUUUAUUACAGUUGGGAAACUACAUGCUAGAAGAACAGAGGACUUAAAUUGCUUUUCCAAGGUCACAUAACCAGUUAUAAAAAGAGCUGGUGCUGGAAUUGAAAUCUUCUAUCUCCUGGUUCCAAGUCCUUCUCCCUUAGACCACACUGAUGUUGAUAAAGGAAGCCUAAUAGGAUGUCUCUUAUUCGCUUGAGGGAACAUAUUAACUUACUCAGGCAAGAAAGAUACGAUAAAAUCAAACGUCAGGACUUAUUACAAGAUUUGAAGAUAAUAUCAACCCAAGAGAUCUCAGGAAAUUUGGCAAUGUUAGGUCCAAGUGGCAAGAAGUACUGAAAAAUUAAACUUCGGUGUGCACAUCAACAGAGUAUAUUUAUAUGUUAUGUUUCUGAUGUGUUAAAAUAUGGGGUAACCACACUGUGGCAUCUUAAGUGAGUUGAACUAUGCAAAAAAAGGAAGAGGAAGUGAAUUUACCAUGACAAACGGUUUGAAAUCAUUUGUGGUGAAAACCCAAAAGGCUUCCUACAACCAAAUCUGUUACAGAAAGUGAGCCAGGUAAGUAACAAAACAAUACUUAAAAUUUUUGUUGCAUAAAAGGUUCUGUGGCAGUACGUUACUGUGUUGCAGGCACUGGCAAUUGUGUAAGAUUGGAAUUCUCUGAAUUGUUGAACAACUGUCUUCAGAGCACUUUUUGGUUUCUAAGAAUCUAACAUGGGGCAGGAAGUAGAGAAAUCAACCAGAAGUAUGGUUUUCAUGUGCCCGAAGGAGGUUGCCACAAAGAUCUUAUGAGAUAGACUUGUCUUUAGAAGGGCCUUUGGUGCGGGUUGGUCACAACUGUUCUCCGGGGUGGGCCCAGCUCUAUACAUCUGCUGGGUGAAGUUACUCAACAGCUUCUGGGAUGC